CAGUAGUCCCUGGAAAUGGAGGUACCCGUGUUAAUCAGAAUGUGACUCUGAACAAUUAUCUCCACAUCCAGAUUCCUGGACUUCUGUGGACAAUUUGGUCCAACUUGUGCCUUUAACUGGGGGGGAAGUGUGGCUUCUUCAUACUGAAAUCCUGUAGAGGCAUGGUGGCCAGAAAGGUUUCCAGGAGCAGUGUGGCUGGGCUUCUCUGGGUCUGUGAGCUCUCUGUGCCACAGAGGUCUACUCAUGGAGCAAUUCCUACUGGCUCCGGGUUAGAUGUCGGUUCAUGUGCUGUCCAUCUCCUCCUCAUGUCUCUUGCCGUAGAAGAUGACCCUGUGAGGAAGCCAGCCUGCGAUUGAAGGAAAAGUUAAGAAAUAAAACAAGCCAAGAUAUGAUUUAGAAGAAAAAUAGCUUGGGUUCAUCUUAGAUAAUGAACUGUUCAUCCAAGGUA